rnacentral:rRNA from 1 species
UACGUAGGGUGCGAGCGUUGUCCGGAAUUAUUGGGCGUAAAGAGCUUGUAGGCGGUUUGUCGCGUCUGCUGUGAAAAUCCGGGGCUCAACCCCGGACUUGCAGUGGGUACGGGCAGACUAGAGUGUGGUAGGGGAGACUGGAAUUCCUGGUGUAGCGGUGAAAUGCGCAGAUAUCAGGAGGAACACCGAUGGCGAAGGCAGGUCUCUGGGCAUUAACUGACGCUGAGGAGCGAAAGUGUGGGGAGCGAACAGG